CUUUCUUGCAGCUGUAGAACUCAUGGCAGCUUGCUUCUUCAAGGCCAGUUGCAUAAUACUCUCCAGAUCCCUCCAUGCUGUCUCAAAGGGAUUUCAUGCCUAAGAUUGACACUUCACAAUGUAUUUAUCAACACGGACCAGCUUAUUUUCAAUCAAUAUGUUAGGAGAGUACUUAUCUCCACACUAUCAGUAUGUGCAUGCUCAUGAACAAAAAUUCUUCAACCCUGCAUCUUUUCAAGACUAU